rnacentral:rRNA from 1 species
AACGAACGCUGGCGGCGUGGAUAAGACAUGCAAGUCGAACGAGAAACUAUUGGAGCUUGCUUUGAGAGUUUCUAGUGGCGGACGGGUGAGUAUCACGUGAGCAACCUGCCCAGGAGAUCGGGAUAGCCCGGGGAAACUCGGAUUAAUACCGUAUAGCAUGGGAAAUGGCAUCAUUUCUUUAUUAAAGGUGGGGAUCUUCGGACCUGCCGCUUCUGGAUGGGCUCGCGGCCUAUCAGCUUGAUGGUGAGGUAACGGCUCACCAUGGCUACGACGGGUAACUGGUCUGAGAGGACGAUCAGUCACACUGGAACUGAGACACGGUCCAGACACCUACGGGUGGCAGCAGUCGAGAAUCAUUCGCAAUGGGGGAAACCCUGACGGUGCGACGCCGCGUGGAGGAUGAAGGCCCUAGGGUCGUAAACUCCUGUCAUCGGUGAGUAAGGCAGGUACGUUAAUAGCGUGCUCUGUUGAUAGUAACCGAAGAGGAAGGGACGGCUAACUUCGUGCCAGCCGCCGCCGUAAAAC